ACAGGGCUCAGAAGGUGUGCUGAUGUCUAUUCUGAAUGCUUUGAUAGCAAAGAAAAGCAUGUUGUGGAGUGUUAGUGAGGAGUAUCUGUGCAAACAGAUGUUUGAUAGCAUAUUGGAAGGGGCUGGACAGGGGUUAUCCAGGGCUGGAACAACAGUUGGACCAGAAGCACCAGACUGAGGUGAAAUAUGCAGCCACGUCUCACAUCCUGAAUCAUUGCUGACAAUGAUUGGAUGGUAUGAUGGAUGACGGGCCUUCUGGGAAUGUGUUGGCUAAUGAAACAUGGCAAUCAGUUUUAUCAAACCUUUGUACAGCUUCACCUGAGGGAAAUCACAUAACUCAGCCGUGACACCAACAGCAGAUUUUCCAGAGGCCUGCUUACAAAACAACAGUAAAACCUGAUAUUUAUUACGUCUACAAUUUGCAAUUUCACACUGAACCCUCCAGCCUGUGGAACCCAUUCAUCCUAGGAAAAGAGCAUCCAUGAGGAAACCAUUUCUGAGCUAUGCAUCUGCAAUGGCAUCGAAAGCUUCAGAGCCAUGAUUACAAUAGCUGGAAGCAUCUCGUCACACGCUGGGCUGCUCAUGCUGGCCAUGAGCAUUGCCAAGGGAUCCUGGCUGGUUCUUCCAGCCUGACUCACUAAGCACCUGCAAGCUGAGGAUCUCGAAAGUUUGCAGAGAGAAAAACAAGAGCUAUGAGCUAUUCCGUUAAAAAAGCUUGCAAAGUCUUUAGACAGGGUGCAGAAGGACGAGGAGGCCUGUAGAAGCCAGAGAAGGUUUGGGCUCAGGAGAAAGUGGAAGCUGUUGUGCUAAAACUUCAGGAUGUUCCCUGGCACUUUUUGGAAGGCUGUCUUGAUUCAGUACCAAUGGCUGCAGAAAAAGGACCAACUCCAAGUCACUGUGGGUUCUAGUCCUGGCCUGACCAGUUCACUGCCUCUUUAACCUCAAGCAUUUGUUCCUGAGGUAACCUUCAGUACUUAGAUUGCUAGCAUUUUAUAAUAACAGAUACGCUUACUCUGUAAGUCACAGAUGACAAGAGGGAUUGGGUAAAUUCCUGAAAUGCAAAGGAGUAAGAGAUGGUGUGAAGAACUUGCAUCAAGACUGUAUGAUACCGUUUUUUGAAAAAAACAGUUUCAGUUAUAUCUUGUAAAAAAUAAAUUAAACAUUCUGGUAGCAUCAAAACAUCUUUGGAAACUGAAGGAAUCCUUUCCAUUUCCUGUUGUGAACAGCUCUUGAAAGAGAUUUCAUGGUUGUGACAUAAAAUUAUCUAUUUUUUUUUCAGAAAUCAGAACUGAAAUGCAUGUUUCAGUUUUACUGAAGCAAAUACUUUCACUCAUGUUUUUGUUUAGUUUUGUUUUUUGGCAGGGCGGUGAAGCAAAGAGAUUACAACUUAAAAUUUUGGCAUGUCUUGAGAAACAGAUAAUGGUCUAUGGUCACCAUUUUUCAGCUUUACACAUAGCUGUUUUUGUAACAGCAUGGCAAGACAGAAGUUGGGACCUUUUCAUAUGAAAACUGUACAA